rnacentral:rRNA from 1 species
UACGUAGGGUGCGAGCGUUAAUCGGAAUUACUGGGCGUAAAGCGUGCGCAGGCGGCGCGUUAAGACAGGUGUGAAAGCCCCGGGCUUAACCCGGGAAUGGCAUUGGAAACUGUUGGUCUGGAGGGUUGGAGGGGGGACUGGAAUUCUUGGUGUAGCAGUGAAAUGCGUAGAUAUCAAGAGGAACACCAGUGGCGAAGGCGAGUCCCUGGACAAACCCUGACACUGAGGCACGAAAGCCAAGGGAGCAAACAGG